CGACUUGGAACGAUGGAUCACCCGGCUCGUGUGCUGAGGGAGAGUGCAGCCGACUGUGUGAAUUAAUUUGGACUGCAUACUGCCUUGAACACUGACAUCUUUGACUCAUAUUGUGACUUCCGAAUAUCCUGUGGCCAUGUCUAUCCGACAGUUGG
rnacentral:rRNA from 1 species